UAGAGAGGUCCCAAGCGUUGUUCGGAUUCACUGGGCGUAAAGGGUGCGUAGGUGGUCGGGUAAGUCUGAUGUGAAAUCUCUGGGCUCAACCCAGAAAUGGCAUUGGAUACUAUCCGGCUAGAGGAGUGGAGGGGGGACUGGAAUACUUGGUGUAGCAGUGAAAUGCGUAGAUAUCAAGUGGAACACCAGUGGCGAAGGCGAGUCCCUGGACACUUCCUGACACUGAGGCACGAAAGCUAGGGGAGCAAACAGG
rnacentral:rRNA from 1 species